rnacentral:rRNA from 1 species
UACGUAGGGCGCAAGCGUUAUCCGGAAUUAUUGGGCGUAAAGAGCUCGUAGGCGGUUUGUCGCGUCUGCCGUGAAAGUCCGGGGCUCAACUCCGGAUCUGCGGUGGGUACGGGCAGACUAGAGUGAUGUAGGGGAGACUGGAAUUCCUGGUGUAGCGGUGAAAUGCGCAGAUAUCAGGAGGAACACCGGUGGCGAAGGCGGGUCUCUGGGCCGAUACUGACGCUGGAGGAGCGAAAAGCGUGGGGGAGCGAACAGG